rnacentral:SRP_RNA from 1 species
AUUGUGGCUCCGGGCGACGGAAACGUCGAUAACCCCGCCAGGCCCGGAAGGGAGCAACGGUACCGUCGUGACCGGGUGCCCGGAGCCUUACCCCC